rnacentral:rRNA from 1 species
GAUGAACGCUGGCGGCGUGCCUAAUACAUGCAAGUCGAGCGAACAGACGAGGAGCUUGCUCCUCUGACGUUAGCGGCGGACGGGUGAGUAACACGUGGAUAACCUACCUAUAAGACUGGGAUAACUUCGGGAAACCGGAGCUAAUACCGGAUAAUAUAUUGAACCGCAUGGUUCAAUAGUGAAAGACGGUUUUGCUGUCACUUAUAGAUGGAUCCGCGCCGCAUUAGCCAGUUGGUAAGGUAACGGCUUACCAAGGCAACGAUGCGUAGCCGACCUGAGAGGGUGAUCGGCCACACUGGAACUGAGACACGGUCCAGACUCCUACGGGAGGCAGCAGUAGGGAAUCUUCCGCAAUGGGCGAGAGCUUGACGGAGCAACGCCGCGUGAGUGAUGAAGGUCUUCGGAUCGUAAAACUCUGUUAUUAGGGAAGAACAAAUGUGUAAGUAACUAUGCACGUCUUGACGGUACCUAAUCAGAAAGCCACGGCUAACUACGUG